rnacentral:rRNA from 1 species
CCUGUUUAACAAAAACAUGUCUUUUUGAGUUAUUUUUAAAGUCUGACCUGCCCACUGAGAGUUUUUAAAUGGCCGCAGUAUUCUAACUGUGCAAAGGUAGCAUAAUCAAUAGUCUUUUAAUUGAAGGCUGGUAUGAAUGGUUGGACGAGGUAUAAACUGUUUCAUGUAAAUUUAUAAUAGAAUUUUAUAUUUUAGUUAAAAAGCUAAAAUGUUGUUAAAAGACGAGAAGACCCUAUAAAUCUUUAUAUUUUAUAUAAUAUAAAUUUUUUGGAUUUGUUUUAUUUUUAUUAUAUAAAAUAUUUUGUUGGGGUGAUGUUAAAAUUUGAUAAACUUUUAAUUUUUUUUUGUCAUUAAUUUAUGUAUUAUUGAUCCAUUAGUAGUGAUUAUAAGAUUAAGUUACUUUAGGGAUAACAGCGUAAUUUUUUUGGAGAGUUCAUAUCGAUAAAAAAGUUUGCGACCUCGAUGUUGGAUUAAGAUAUAAUUUUAGGUGUAGCUGCUUAAAU